rnacentral:lncRNA from 1 species
GGGGUGCCAUAUAAUUAGAUCCCAUAAAGAAGAAAGCGAAAGGAAGAACUUAUUUUUCUGCAAAACCUUAGAUCUUGAAACCUUAGAUUUUUUGUAUGUGAUACAAUGAUGUAUGAAAUGUAAGAUAUCUAAUCUAUAUGAUUAAAAUUAUAUUAAUCAUGAAAAAAUAAAUUUUUAAAUCAUAAAAAAUUUUAAAGAUGAUCUAAAAGUAUUA